rnacentral:rRNA from 1 species
GACGAACGCUGGCGGCGUGCUUAACACAUGCAAGUCGAGCGGUAAGGCCCUUUCGGGGGUACACGAGCGGCGAACGGGUGAGUAACACGUGGGUGACCUGCCCUCAGCUCUGGGAUAAGCCUGGGAAACCGGGUCUAAUACCGGAUAUGACUCCAUGACGCAUGUUGUGGGGUGGAAAGCCUUGUGCGGCUGAGGAUGGGCCCGCAGCCUAUCAGCUUGUUGGUGGGGUGANGGCCUACCAAGGCGACGACGGGUAGCCGGCCUGAGAGGGCGACCGGCCACACUGGGACUGAGACACGGCCCAGACUCCUACGGGAGGCAGCAGUGGGGAAUCUUGCGCAAUGGGCGAAAGCCUGACGCAGCGACGCCGCGUGAGGGAUGACGGCCU